AUGCAAUUGUGUUGCUUCCAGAUUAUCCACGACGCCAGGAGGGCAAUGGAGGCUAGGCCUUUGCGCAUCGGUGUCAGCGUGUUUUGCCUGGCGUGCAGCCACCAGUCCAUGAGCGAAUGUUCGUGGCUUGGUCUUGCGGUGGUCAUCCGUAGCCAGGAGAGGAUUUCGUGCCAAGUCUGCCUGGAGGAGACCACGCCUAGCCAAGCGAUCAGCCGUCCAACACCUAUCUUGGUCUGCCAACCAAUGGAAGAACUUCACCCGCGGUGGCGCCCAAUUCUUCCAGACGAGCUUCCAAGAGAAGGAAAUUGUGGAUCCCUGGAAGGUGGUUAG
rnacentral:rRNA from 1 species